rnacentral:rRNA from 1 species
GAAUGCUGACAUAAGUAACGAUAAAGCGGGUGAAAAGCCCGCUCGCCGGAAGACCAAGGGUUCCUGUCCAACGUUAAUCGGGGCAGGGUGAGUCGACCCCUAAGGCGAGGCCGAAAGGCGUAGUCGAUGGGAAACGGGUUAAUAUUCCCGUACUUGGUGUUACUGCGAAGGGGGGACGGAGAAGGCUAUGUUGGCCGGGCGACGGUUGUCCCGGUUUAAGCGUGUAGGUGUGUGUUCCAGGUAAAUCCGGUUCACUUUAACACUGAGGCGUGACGACGAGGCACUACGGUGCUGAAGCAACAAAUGCCCUGCUUCCAGGAAAAGCCUCUAAGCAUCAGGUAACAUCAAAUCGUACCCCAAACCGACACAGGUGGUCAGGUAGAGAAUACCAAGGCGCUUGAGAGAACUCGGGUGAAGGAACUAGGCAAAAUGGUGCCGUAACUUCGGGAGAAGGCACGCUGACACGUAGGUGAAGUGAUUUACUCACGGAGCUGAAGUCAGUCGAAGAUACCAGCUGGCUGCAACUGUUUAUUAAAAACACAGCACUGUGCAAACACGAAAGUGGACGUAUACGGUGUGACGCCUGCCCGGUGCCGGAAGGUUAAUUGAUGGGGUCAGCGCAAGCGAAGCUCCUGAUCGAAGCCCCGGUAAACGGCGGCCGUAACUAUAACGGUCCUAAGGUAGCGAAAUUCCUUGUCGGGUAAGUUCCGACCUGCACGAAUGGCGUAAUGAUGGCCAGGCUGUCUCCACCCGAGACUCAGUGAAAUUGAACUCGCUGUGAAGAUGCAGUGUACCCGCGGCAAGACGGAAAGACCCCGUGAACCUUUACUAUAGCUUGACACUGAACAUUGAGCCUUGAUGUGUAGGAUAGGUGGGAGGCUUUGAAGUGUGGACGCCAGUCUGCAUGGAGCCGACCUUGAAAUACCACCCUUUAAUGUUUGAUGUUCUAACGUGGACCCGUAAUCCGGGUUGCGGACAGUGUCUGGUGGGUAGUUUGACUGGGGCGGUCUCCUCCUAAAGAGUAACGGAGGAGCACGAAGGUUGGCUAAUCCUGGUCGGACAUCAGGAGGUUAGUGCAAUGGCAUAAGCCAGCUUGACUGCGAGCGUGACGGCGCGAGCAGGUGCGAAAGCAGGUCAUAGUGAUCCGGUGGUUCUGAAUGGAAGGGCCAUCGCUCAACGGAUAAAAGGUACUCCGGGGAUAACAGGCUGAUACCGCCCAAGAGUUCAUAUCGACGGCGGUGUUUGGCACCUCGAUGUCGGCUCAUCACAUCCUGGGGCUGAAGUAGGUCCCAAGGGUAUGGCUGUUCGCCAUUUAAAGUGGUACGCGAGCUGGGUUUAGAACGUCGUGAGACAGUUCGGUCCCUAUCUGCCGUGGGCGCUGGAGAACUGAGGGGGGCUGCUCCUAGUACGAGAGGACCGGAGUGGACGCAUCACUGGUGUUCGGGUUGUCAUGCCAAUGGCACUGCCCGGUAGCUAAAUGCGGAAGAGAUAAGUGCUGAAAGCAUCUAAGCACGAAACUUGCCCCGAGAUGAGUUCUCCCUGAGACUUUAGGUCUCCUGAAGGAACGUUGAAGACGACGACGUUGAUAGGCCGGGUGUGUAAGCGCAGCGAUGCGUUGAGCUAACCGGUACUAAUGAACCGUGAGGCUUAACCUUACA